UAGACCCCUUCAGCAACGGUGCAUUUUGGGAGCAAAAAAAAAAAAAAAAAAGCUUCUCCUCCCUUCCUUCAUCAUCACCAAACUGACCUCUUUCCUCCAAACCAAAACAAUGGAACCUCACCUCCACACUCUCGUCCCUCAAAUAUACACACAUAAACGAUUGGUUUAUAAAAGCUGUUUUGGAGCUGUGGAUGUUGCUUCGUUGAUUUUGCCGCUGCUGUUUAGCUUCUGUUCUUCGACAUCUCAACCUUCAUUAGCUCUAGUUUUGAUGUUUUGCUGUUGUCCAGGUUUAUAAAAGCUGUUUUGGAGCUGUGGAUGUUGCUUCGUUGAUUUUGCCGCUGCUGUUUAGCUUCUGUUCUUCGACAUCUCAACCUUCAUUAGCUCUAGUUUUGAUGUUUUGCUGUUGUUCAGGUAAUCUCUCCCUUGAGACUGUACUGCUACUUAAUGUUUGAAUCAUGAAAUCACAAGAAUUUCCUCAUGUUAGAUUCAAAUUGAAUUUUGUGAACAUUUACAAUGAUAUGUGAUGUGCUGUUAUCAGUCUGAUUCAAUGUUAUGUGUUAUUGGGUCA